UACGUAGGGUGCGAGCGUUGUCCGGAAUUAUUGGGCGUAAAGAGCUCGUAGGCGGCCUGUCGCGUCGGUUGUGAAAGCCCGGGGCUUAACCCCGGGUGUGCAGUCGAUACGGGCAGGCUAGAGUUCGGUAGGGGAGAUCGGAAUUCCUGGUGUAGCGGUGAAAUGCGCAGAUAUCAGGAGGAACACCGGUGGCGAAGGCGGAUCUCUGGGCCGAUACUGACGCUGAGGAGCGAAAGCGUGGGGAGCGAACAGG
rnacentral:rRNA from 1 species